GACUCCGGCUCAAAGAGACUGCAGGCAGCCGGAUGCAAAAGGCAUGCUGGGAAGUGGUGUAUUUGCUCCUUGCCUUCAACCCGGCCGGCUCGAUUCUGUGAUUUUUUUGCCGGCUGUCUUGUAGUCACUAUGUGAGAUGGACAGCAAUUAUCAUCAUUUAGCCAUUGUCUAUCCGCUACAAGAUGAAGGCCUCUUCCGCAUGUUUCCUGAGCUUUCUUUUGCCAAUUGGACCUGCAAUACUUGCUGAUGUCGUCGAUCCAUCUUGUUUUAGGUCUUUUUUGUGGAUGCUUUUUAAUCAAGUGGGAUCUAUUCUAUGACUGGCUUGGUCAACCUGCCAUCAGUUCUUCUUGCUUUGUGACCAGUCCAUUUCCAUUUCAAUUCUUUUAUUCUCUUGAUGAUAUCCUAUAUUUUCAUUUGUUUGAUAAUCAGCAAUAUGUACUAAAUACAAUAAUUAAAUAACCACACUAAGGUAAAA